rnacentral:rRNA from 1 species
UACGUAGGCAGCAAGCGUUGUUCGGAAUUACUGGGCGUAAAGAGUUCGUAGGCGGUGCGGCAAGUUCGGUGUGAAAUCUCCCGGCUCAACUGGGAGGGUGCGCUAAAUACUGCCGUGCUCGAGUAUAGGAGAGGUAAGCGGAAUUCCUGGUGUAGCGGUGAAAUGCGUAGAUAUCUGGAGGAACACCGGUGGCGAAGGCGGCAUCCUGGACCACGACUGACGCUGAGUGAGCGAAAGCCAGGGGAGCAACGGG